rnacentral:rRNA from 1 species
UACGUAGGGUGCGAGCGUUAAUCGGAAUUACUGGGCGUAAAGCGUGCGCAGGCGGUUUUGUAAGACAGAUGUGAAAUCCCCGGGCUUAACCUGGGAACUGCAUUUGUGACUGCAAGACUAGAGUGCGGUAGAGGAUGGCGGAAUUCCCGGUGUAGCAGUGAAAUGCGUAGAGAUCGGGAGGAACAUCUGUGGCGAAGGCGGCCAUCUGGACCAGCACUGACACUGAGGCACGAAAGCGUGGGGAGCAAACAGG